UACGUAGACACGUGGUUUCCACAUCAUCACCUACGAACGAGACGCUCCCCCAGUUUUGGUAAAAGUGACUCGAGAUAUCGUCACUUCACCGGUCGGCUCGCUCUCUCCCGUCUUUUCCAGUCACUUCCAAACCGUGAUUGGAGUUCUCCAUUGGGGGGAGAACAUAGGCUGAGGCUCACGCAGCAGAUACAUUGAAGUGCAGCGCUGCAGCAUUGAGCAGCAUUUUGUUGGCUAUAACCGCUCUCCGUGGACCUGACCUGCUCCACCCGCAUAGCACCAGCUCGACAUCCGGUGCUGAAAGGACAGCGCCAGGACCAGCAUCAUAUCAGUGGUGACGCAUUCUCCCAUUUUCCCUACAUGUUCUGCCAUAUAUAAUUAGUUUAGAUUCUAACUUUCGACAAGAGAGCCAUAUUGCCCAGCCUUGAACCCCCAAGAAAGGUUAAAUAAUAGCAAUAGAGCGGGUGAUAACUCUAUUCAUGCAAGGCACUACCGCUUUAUUUGAACAACGUUGUUUAGUCACUUCUCAGUGUUCAAGGCCAACACUUAGCGCUAUUACACAACACAUAAACAGCUCAGAACAUUGCAGCAGGUGAGAAGAGGUAAGAUAUUGCAUAGGAGGUCGGCUGUGGUGUGUAUUGAACCACCACAGUCAAAAUUCUUUUCCAUUUUCUUAAAAUGUGUUUCUAAAUAUAAGGUUAUAAUAUACAGUGCCUUGGGAAAGUAUUCACCCCCUUUGACUUUCCCCACAUUUUGUUGUGUUACAGCCGUAUUCUAAAAUGGAUUAAUAAAAAAUAAAAAAUCUACACACAAUACCUCCAUUGAUCAUCCUUGAGAUGUUUCUACAACUUGAUUGUAGUCCACCGGCGGUAAAUUCAAUUGAUUGGACAUGAUUUGGAAAGGCACACACCUGUCUAUAUAAGGUCCCACAGUUGACAGUGCAUGUCAGAGAAAAAAACAAGCCAUGAGGUCGAAGGAAUUGUCCGUAGAGCUCCGAGACAGGAUUGUGUAGAGGCACAGAUCUGGGGAAGGGUACCAAAAAAUGUCUGCAGCAUUGAAGGACUUCAAGAACACAGUGGUCUCCUCAUUUUUAAAUCAAAGAAGUUUGGAACCACCAAGGCCAAACUGAACAAUCCGGGGAGAAGGGCCUUGGUCAAGGAGGUGACCAAGAACCUGAUAGUAUUUUUCAGGUACAGGGACUGGGAGACUAGUCACGAUCGAGGGAAAGAUGAACGGAGCAAUGUACAGCGAGAUCCUUGAUGAAAACCUGCUCCAGAGUGCUCAGGACCUCAGAAUGGAGCAAGGGUUUACCUUCCAACAGGACAGCGACCCUAAGCACACAGCCAAGACAACGUAGGUGUGUCUUCCAGACAAGUCUCUGAAUGUCCUUGAGUGGCCCAGCCAGAGCCCAGACUUGAACCCAUGUCUGGAGAGACCUGAAAAUAGCUGUGCAGCAACGCUCCCCAUCCCACCUGACAGAGCUUGAGAGGAUCUGCAUAGGAGAAUGGGAGAAACCCCCCAAAUACAGGUAAUUGUGGAGACCAGGUCAUCUGAUGCAGCACUCCGUCACUCUCCUUCUUGGUCAAAUAGCCCUUACACAGCCUGGAGGUGUGUUGGGUCAAUGUCCCACUAAGCGCAAACCAGAUGGGAUGGCGUAUCACUACAGCCAUGCUGAUUAAGUGUGCCUUGAAUUCUAAAUAAAUCUCAGACAGUGUCACCAGCAAAGCACCCCCACAGCAUCACACCUCCUCCUCCAUGCUUCACGGUGGGAACCACACAUGCUGAGAUCAUCCGUUCACCUACUCUGAGUCUCACAAAGACACCGUGGUUGCAACCAAAAAUCGCAAAUUUGGACUCAUCAGAACAAAGAACGUAUCUCCACCGGUCUAAUGUCAAGUGCUCGUGUUUCUUGGCCCAAGUAAGUCUCUUCUUCUUAUUGGUGUCCUUUAGUAGUGAUUUCUUUGCAGCAAUUCAACCAUGAAGGCCUGAUUCCAGUGGUCUCCUCUGAGCAGUUGAUGUUGAGAUGUGUCUGUUGCUUGAACUCUGUGAAGCAUUUAUUUGGGCUGCAAUUUCUGAGGCUGGUAACUGUAAUGAUUUUAUCCUCUGCAGUAGAGGUAACUCUGGGUCUUCUUUUCCUGUGUCGGUCCUCAUGAGAGCCAGUUUCAUUACAACGAUGGUUUUUGCAACUGCGCUUGAAGAAACUUUCAAAGUUCUUGAAACUUUCCAUAUUGACUGACCUCCAUGUUUUAAAGUAAUGAUGGACUGUCGUUUCUCUUUGCUGAUUUGACCUGUUCUUGCCAUAAUAUGGACUUGGUCUUUUACCAAAUAGGGCUAUCUUCUGUAUACCACCCCUACCUUGUCACAACACAACUGAUUGGUUAUCUUCUGUAUACCACCCCUACCUUGUCACAACACAACUGAUUGGCUCAAACGCAUUAAGAAGGAAAGACAUUCCACAAAUGAACUUUUAACAAGGCACACCUGUUAAUUGCAAUGCAUUCCAGGUGACUACCUCAUGAAGCUGGUUGAGAGAAUGCCAAGAGUGUACAAAGCUGUCAUCAAGGCAAAGGGUGGCUACUUUGAGGAAUUUCAAAUGUAAAAUAUAUUUUGAUUUGUUUAACACUUGUUUGGUUACUACAUGAUUCCAUAUGUGUUAUUUCAUAGUUUUGAUGUCUCAUUAUUAUUCUACCAUGUAGAAAAUAGUAAAAAUAAAGAAAAAC
ensembl:lncRNA